rnacentral:rRNA from 1 species
GGAUUAGAUACCCUAUUAUUUUUUAAUUAAAUUGAUUUAACUUGAGUAGUAAUAGUUAUGGUCUUGAAACUUAAAGAAUUUGGCGGUGUCUUAGUCUAUUUAGAGGAAUCUGUCCCAUAAUCGAUAGUCCGCGUUGAACCUUACUUGAUUAAUUAGUAUGUAUACCGCCGUUUAUUGAAAAUCUUUUUAGAGUAUUUUCUAAAUAUUUUAUUAGGUAGUAUUUCAGGUCAAGGUGCAGUUUAUAAUUAAGAGGAGAUGGAUUACAAUAUAUGAAGUAUAUGGAUUAUAAGUUGAAAAAUUUAUAUUAAGGUGGAUUUAAUAGUAAUUAUCUGAAGAUUAUUAUUGUGAUUUUAGCUCUAAGGCGUGCACACAUCGCCCGUCACUCUCGUUAUUUAAGGUGAGAUAAGUC